UAAUUGAAGAGUUUGAUCAUGGCUCAGAUUGAACGCUGGCGGCAGGCCUAACACAUGCAAGUCGAGCGGUAACAGGGGAAGCUUGCUUCUCGC
rnacentral:rRNA from 1 species